rnacentral:rRNA from 1 species
CCUACGGGAGGCAGCAGUGGGGAAUUUUGGACAAUGGGCGCAAGCCUGAUCCAGCAAUGCCGCGUGAGUGAAGAAGGCCUUCGGGUUGUAAAGCUCUUUUGUCAGGGAAGAAAAGGGUCUGGCUAAUAUCUAGGCCUCAUGACGGUACCUGAAGAAUAAGCACCGGCUAACUACGUGCCAGCAGCCGCGGUAAUACGUAGGGUGCAAGCGUUAAUCGGAAUUACUGGGCGUAAAGCGUGCGCAGGCGGUUUUGUAAGACUGUCGUGAAAUCCCCGGGCUCAACCUGGGAAUGGCGAUGGUGACUGCAAGGCUAGAGUUUGGCAGAGGGGGGUAGAAUUCCACGUGUAGCAGUGAAAUGCGUAGAUAUGUGGAGGAACACCGAUGGCGAAGGCAGCCCCCUGGGUCAAAACUGACGCUCAUGCACGAAAGCGUGGGGAGCAAACAGGAUUAGAUACCCUGGUAGUCCACGCCCUAAACGAUGUCUACUAGUUGUCGGGUUUUAAUUAACUUGGUAACGCAGCUAACGCGUGAAGUAGACCGCCUGGGGAGGUACGGUCGCAGAGUAAACUACGAAGAAGUAGACGCGNGAGACGNGCGACGGACGACGACGAGGGAGGAGG